UGGGGAAUCUUGGACAAUGGGGGCAACCCUGAUCCAGCCAUGCCGCGUGAGUGAUGAAGGCCUUAGGGUCGUAAAGCUCUUUCGCCUGUGAAGAUAAUGACGGUAGCCGGAGAAGAAGCCCCGGCUAACUCCGUGCCAGCAGCCGCGGUAAUACGGAGGGGGCUAGCGUUGUUCGGAAUUACUGGGCGUAAAGCGCGCGUAGGCGGACUGAUCAGUCAGGGGUGAAAUCCCGGGGCUCAACCCCGGAACUGCCUUUGAUACUGUCAGUCUUGAGUCCGGAAGAGGCGAGUGGAAUACCGAGUGUAGAGGUGAAAAUUCGUAGAUAUUAGGUGGAACACCAGUGGCGAAGGCGCCUAACUGGUCCGGUACUGACGCUGAGGAACGAAAAGCGUGGGGAGCAAACAGGAUUAGAUACCCUGGUAGUCCACGCCGUAAAACGAUGAGUGCUAGAUGUUGGGAUUUUCGGAUUUCAGUGUCGCAGCUAACGCAUUAAGCACUCCGCCUGGGAGUACGGCCGCAAGGUU
rnacentral:rRNA from 1 species